rnacentral:rRNA from 1 species
CCUACGGGUGGCAGCAGUGAGGAAUAUUGGUCAAUGGACGAGAGUCUGAACCAGCCAAGUAGCGUGAAGGAUGACUGCCCUAUGGGUUGUAAACUUCUUUUAUAUGGGAAUAAAAUGUUCCACGUGUGGGAUUUUGUAUGUACCAUAUGAAUAAGGAUCGGCUAACUCCGUGCCAGCAGCCGCGGUACUAAGGAGGAUCCGAGCGUUAUCCGGAUUUAUUGGGUUUAAAGGGAGCGUAGGUGGAUUGUUAAGUCAGUUGUGAAAGUUUGCGGCUCAACCGUAAAAUUGCAGUUGAAACUGGCAGUCUUGAGUACAGUAGAGGUGGGCGGAAUGCGUGGUGUAGCGGUGAAAUGCUUAGAUAUCACGAAGAACUCCGAUUGCGAAGGCAGUUCACUGGACUGCAACUGACACUGAGGCUCGAAAGUGUGGGUAUCAAACAGGAUUAGAUACCCUGGUAGUC